CCUCAUGAGGAAAUGGGGAACGCGUUCCUCCUGUGAACGGACUUCUAAAGGCAGCGAGAAGGCACCAAGAUACCUUCAUGAGAAUAAUUUAGAAGUGAAAACAAGUCCCUUUGACCACCUUAGCAGCAAACACUGGAUGAGAAGAGCAAGGCCCGGAGAGUAGGACCAACUCACUCGAGAUCAUAUGUGGCUCUUUUACCUAAAGGCUCAUGAAAAAGUUACCUGGCAGCCCAGAAAAACCCUACAAGGAGGAAGCCCUAUUUCAGACUCAACCAGUACCUUAUUGAGGGCCUGUCUACUGUGUGCUGGGCACUGUCCUGGGAACUGUAGAACGGUUACGUCAAUGAUUACUCACCACAACAAUGAGG